ACGAACGCUGGCGGCGUGCUUAACACAUGCCAGUCGAACGGAAAGCCCCUGCUUUUGUGGGGUGCACGAGUGGCGAACGGGUGAGUAACACGUGAGUAACCUGCCCUUGACUUUGGGAUAACUUUAGGAAACUGGGGCUAAUACCGGUUAGGAGCUCCUGCUGCAUGGUGGGGGUUGGAAAGUUUCGGCGGUUGGGGAUGGACUCGCGGCUUAUCAGCUUGUUGGUGGGGUAGUGGCUUACCAAGGCUUUGCCGGGUAGCCGGCCUGAGAGGGUGACCGGCCACAUUGGGACUGAGAUACGGCCCAGACUCCUACGGGAGGCAGCAGGGGGGAAUAUUGCACAAUGGGCGGAAGCCUGAUGCAGCAACGCCGCGUGCGGGAUGACGGCCUGCGGGUUGUAAACCGCUUUCGCCUGUGACGAAGCGUGAGUGACGGUAAUGGGUAAAGAAGCACCGGCUAACUACGUG
rnacentral:rRNA from 1 species